UAAAAAUACAGACCCUUCAUCUUUCCCCUUUCUCUCUCUUUUCCUCUCACCUUCUCUCUCUUCCCCCUCUUUCUCUAAACCUAUUAACGGCGCUGCCAGUCACCGUCGUCACCUGCCAGUUACUGUCGCCGCCAUCUGCCAUUGCCGUCGCCGGCCUAUCUGACAAUCUGAGAUGGAAUCUCGUAGUUGGAUGUAUAAUAGGACAAAUGACGGCCGAUGGGGGAUGAGGCAAGAAUUUGUAGAUGGUGUCGAUGCUUUUGUUGACUAUGCAAUGACACUUGAAACUUUUCUAAGUCAUGGUUUGGUUAGGUGCCCUUGUGUGAAAUGUAAAUGUAGAAAUUAUGAGACACCAGAGAUUGUUAGGCUUCAUCUCUAUAAAGACGGCUUUGAAAAAGAUUACACAGUAUGGAUUGGUCAUGGAGAAACGGAUAGUCGUUUUGGUAGAUUUCAAGACUUUAUUGUUGGUGAAAGUAGUAGGGCGGUGGAACCUAAUGUCCAAAAUUCUAGAAUGCACGACAUGGUUCAAGAUGCUUAAGGGAUGCAUUCCAAUUUUGAAUCCGGUAACCAUGAUGAAGAAGCUCCAAAUGAGGAAGCUAGUCGUUUUUUUUGAACAGUUGAAAAAUGCUAGUCGGCCUUUAUAUGACCGGAGUCCCCACUCUCAAUUAUCUAUUGUUGUUAGAUUAUUAAGCAUCAAAGCAUAUUGGAAUGUUCCUCAAGGUGCAAUGGAUGCUGUGAUUGGCCUUAUACAUGAAUUAGUUGACCCGAAUUUAGAGAUACCUGAAAAUUACUAUAAGACAAAAAGAUUAGUGUCUAAGUUAGGACUCUUGUCGAUGAGAAUUGAUUGUUGUGAAAAUGGAUGCAUGUUAUACUAUAAGGAUGACGAAGGUCUAGAAUCUCGUAAGCUUUGUGAAAGAGCUCGUUUUAAGCGGACUCGUAGCGGGAAGAGGGUUGCCGUUAAGGUGAUGCAUUACUUACCUCUUACACCAAGGUUAAAGAGGUUGUACGCAUCAAAUAGCUCCGCUCCUUAUAUGAGAUGGCACCUGAAAAUAGAAGGCCGCCUGGUGUUAUGUGCCAUCCAUCAGACGGAGAGGCUUGGAAGCAUUUUGACACAACAUAUCCAGACUUUGCGGCUGAACCACAGAACAUUAGGUUGGGUUUAUGUUCACAUGGAUUCACUCCACAUUCUGUUUCUGCUGCACCAUAUUCUUGCUGGCCUGUUUUCUUAACACCAUAUAAUCUUCCACCUGAGUUGUGUAUGACUAAUCCAUAUAUAUUCCUUAAUUGCAUCAUUCCUGGCCCACGUAAUCCAAAAGUUUUGAUUGAUGUAUAAUUGCAACCUUUGAUUGAUGAGUUGAAAAUGUUGUGGGUUGAAGGGGUUGAGACGUUUAACGUUUCUCUUAAGCAAAAUUUUAAUUUGCGGGCCACUUUAAUGUGGACUAUUAAUGAUUUUCCUGCCUACGAGAUGUUGUCUGGGUGGAUGACUGCUGGAAAGUUAGCCUGUCCUUACUACAUGGAGAAUACUAAAUCGUUCGCUUUAAAGCACGACAAAAAAAAUUCAUGGUUUGAUUGUCACCGUCAGUUCUUGCCAAUGGAUCAUGAGUUUAGGAGUAUGAAAAAUGCAUUUAGGAAGAACACAAUUGAACAAAACUAUCCACCUCCAAGACUUUCAGGAGAGGAAAUUUGGGAGAGGGUUGAGAAUUUUCCGAAAGUUACUGAAGAACCACCGUACACGUUCGAUGAGUAUGGGCUUGCACAUAACUGGAUCAAAUAGAGCAUAUUUUGGGAGUUACCAUAUUAGAAGGAUAAUCUUCUCCGGCAUAAUCUUGAUGUCAUGCAUAUUGCCAAAAAUACUUUGAUAAUUUGUUCAACACAGUGAUGGAUGUCAAAGGCAAGACAAAAGAUAAUCCAAAAGCUAGAUUGGACUUACAGGAAUAUUGUAGGCGUAAAGAGUUAUAGUUGCAAGACAAACGGAACGGGGUAUUCAAGCCUAAGGCUAGUUAUUCAUUCACAAUGGAUCAGAAGCGAAAGAUUUGUGAAUGGGUUCAGAACUUGAAGAUGCCUGAUGGGUAUGCAUCAAAUUUGGAAAAACGUGUUGAUAUGGCGCAAGGAAAGUUACAUGGGAUGAAAAGCCAUGAUUGUCAUGUUUUCAUGGAAACUUUACUCCCCAUUGCAUUUAGUGGCUUGCCUACCCAAAUCUGGAAGCCUAUGACAGAAAUUAGUUUGUUCUUUAAAGACUUGUGUUCCAGCAUGUUGAGGGUAGGCAACCUGGAUCGGAUGCAUCAGAAUAUUCCUGUAAUAACAAGUAAGUUGGAGAAAAUUCUUCCACCGGAGUUCUUCGAUGUGAUGGAACAUCUUCCAAUUCACCUUGCGGAGGAAGCCUGACUCGGAGGCCCAGUUUAUUGUCGUUGGAUGUAUCCCUUCGAGAGAACUAUUAGCAAGUCUAAACGGGGUAUCAAGCAGGAACAUAGAGUUGAAGGCUCAAUUUGCGAAGCCUAUCUUGCUAAGGAAACAACUCAUUUCUGUUCUUACUACUUUGGGGAUGAUGUGCCAUGCUUGCGAAACAGACCCAAUCGACAUUUUGAAGGAGGUGAGAAUGAUGCUUUAGCGAAGCAGAUAUCAAUCUUCAAUCGACCGGGUUUGGGUUCAAAAAAACGUACAAGAGAAUUUAAUGAUAUGGAGUCUAAAUCUUCAUCGAUACAUGUCUUGCUGAAUUUCCCGGAAGUUCAACGAUAUUAUGAAUACCUCAACGAGGACAUUCUUCGAGCCAUUUCGACAUGUAAGAGAUCUGAGUUUUCCUGGGAAAGCUGUGGGUGUGAAAGUUGGAGGCGUUGCUCCUGCUGAAGCUGCUCCAGCUAAGUAUUAAUAGGAUCAGACACCAGUUGCAACUGCUGUCCUGCAUUGCCUUUUUGCUGCUGCUGUGUUCCUGAUUUUCGUUGUUGAGAGUACUGUGUAGAUUCCUCAUCCAGAUGGCAGGUGAAAAGAGGGGUAAGAAAACAAAGAAGGCUAAGGAGAUGGGGGUUCCCCAGAGACCACCAGAAAACCUUGCGAUUAAAGAUAGAAGCCCGUCGCCAUGUCUCCCACCACGCGGCACUCCAUUGCUUCAUGAUCCCCUCAUGAAUGGCAUUGCAUAUAGUCUUCCACCUCCACACAGCUUUGGUACGCCCUAUAUGGCUCCACACCAGGGCUUUACUGAGGUGCCUCUCCAGAGCCCCUCAAUGAUGUCCACACCAGGUUAUGCUACCCCACAGGGUUUCACUCGGUAUACUCCCGGAUCUCAGGGGGCUGUGUCUAGUGGUACUUCGACGGCCACUCCCAGCCCGACUGCAUCACAUCACUCUUCAUCAUCUACUGAACAGUAUGACAUUACAGGUCCUGACCUUCGAGAAAGUAGUUCUGUGCCUCACACUCCUACUGCGAAUGACUCACUUGAAGGUGUAAGUGCUCCACAGCUUGAAUCUUAUGACUCAUCAUGGCGACUCAUCAUUGAGCCUACGGGAUACGGUUGGUUAUCGGACAAAGCUUCAAGUCUCCUUACAGAUGAGAUACAAAAACUAUUUAAAGACUCACCUACUUGGGGCCAGAUGUCACCAAAUCACCAAGAAAAAUCUAUUAUGCGUUUAAGGAAAAAUAUGUCUGGCGCGGGGAACAUGAGAAGCAGCUAACUAAAAAUUUCAAGAAGAAAGUUCAGCCCUUACUAUGUGACAUGUUAGGAAGGGUUCGUCAAUCUCACAAGAAGCCUAAGUGGAUCCUUCCUGAAAACUAUAACAAGCUACUUCAUUACUGGGCAACUAAUAAAGAUUCUUACAACUGAGUGACAUAGGAAAGAAGGAUAGAAAUUCGACAAAGGGUGGCUCCCUACACACUAGUGGGGCUAUGAGUCAAGAGGCUGUGAGCAGGAAGCUGGCAAGUCUACAUUAACUCUACUUGAAGGAUUGUGAAUUUACUUUAUUUUCUUUAUGUCUUAUCAAUUUAUUCUUUUGCAAGAACUAAAAUGGGGAACGCCAGUGCCUCAAGAUGAGGCGUUCAAGAUCACCCACGUGAAGAAGAAGGCAAACGCUAAUGAUCCAGAUCACUGGUGUGAGGAACGGGCUAAGCAGACCUACACUUGUAGGUUUGUAUUAAGUCCAUAACACAACAGAGUGUUUCUGCAUUUUUAGCCGUUUCAUUUAGUUUUUAAAUUACUUAAAGUCCAAAGUUAAUCUGGACCUGGGGUGCAAAGAUGAAUUUCGUGAUAAUAUGGAGUCCAAUGUAGAUUUCCAAAUAAAAGACGAAGCACAAAGGUUGGCUUUCCCUGAAUGCAAGUUGAUAUUGAAGGAAAGUCGGAAAUUGUUAGUAGUAUUGAUUUGCUUUCCUUUUAGUAGUAUUGAUUUCAACCAUGUUUUAGUUGAAUUGUUAGUAGUAUUGAUUUGAACCAUGUUCUAUUUUGGUUGUUUACUAAAUGUUUGAUAGUUUUUUCUGUUGAAUUCGAGAUUUAAGUUGGUUGCUAAUGUUACCUUUUUAUUUCACAAUCAAUAUCAGCAUUCAAAGGUGGAGUUUCUUCAUACUCAUCCACCCAACACAUAGCUGACAGAAGAACAAAUGGAGGAAAGGUGGCUUGGGAGUGUUGGUGGUCCCACUAGGUUUGGCACAACAUACGGAAUGCCACAUCGUGCAUUUCGUCAAUACAGGUCGCCCCUGGAAAGCCUACAUUCUUCCAAUACCGAGUCGUUCGAUAGAGUGAGUGCUAUGGCCAUGGAGCAAAAGAUUGCUGAGCUAUCUAGCCAGCUACAGGCCUUGGAGGAAAGGGAGAGGCGGAGGGAAGUGCAGUUUGACGGUAUGAGGGCCCAAUUAGACGCAUUACUUGCUUCGAGGGGGAUUCCCUCGUGUCCUAAUGAUGCUCGUAACCCCCAUACUCAAUCUAGUGGUGGGGAUGAUGAUGGGACUCACGUGUCAAACACAUAAAGGCAUGUUUGAAUGUUAAUGUUGUGGUGGAUUUGUGGAUUGUGUAAGUGUUUUGUGGAUGUUUGCGAGGGGUGAAGUAGUCUAAUGUUGUAGACUAACUUAGUGUAGACUAGUUUAAUGUUUUGUGGAUGUUUACAAAUGUUGAAGUAAUUUAAUGUUGUUUUGACGUUUGCGAAGGUUGAAGUAGCUUAAUGUCUCUUGUGAAUGUUUGAUUGACGUUUUUAUUCAACUUUGAAGUAGUUUUGAGUUGAAUUUGAUGUAUUGGUGGUUGUAA